rnacentral:tRNA from 1 species
GCGCCCGUAGCUCAGUUUGGAUAGAGCGUCGGCCUUCGAAGCCGCAGGUCGGGGGUUCGAGUCCCUCCGGGCGCGCCA